AAAAAAAAUAUGACUGAGUACAAUAUUUAUUUUUAAUGAAACAACGUGCUCUUUUUAUUUUUGUAGCACUUAUAAAAUUAUGUUUUUGUAUGCUUAUUAAUAAGAACAGUAACUUGGCAUACAUAAAUAACAAAUCGUUUAUAAAAUCAAGACUCAAAAGAAAAUAUUUCUCUUUUUUAAAUAACAGCAUAUACAUUAAUGGGAACGAAAAAAAAAAAAAAAAGGACUUGAACGGUGAUGUAAAUCGUUUGCAAGAACAGAAUAGUUACAAUGGGAGAGAUCGAAAUGGUGGCGCUAGUAAUUGUAUUAGUAGUACCAGUAGCAUAUGUAGCAUAAAUAACGAGAGUAGCACAACCGAACAAGGGAAAAAAUUCCUAAACGCAACAAAAGAAGAUGACUAUCACAAUUUAUAUUUGUAUCAUAUAUAUAAAAAAGUGAACAAUAUAAAAAAAAAAAAAUAUUUAUACACUCCUAGUAAAUACGAGAGUGUUAAGUCGUAUAUAAAAAGAGAAUUAAAUGAAUGUUUAGGUGUAAAUACGGCAGCAUAUAUUUUUAAAAUAACAGAAUAUUAUUCUAAAAAUUUGUUAGAUGUGUCAGUAUAUGUGGAAGAGAUAGUUAGUAUUCUCAGUUUUUUUACGUUUAAUCAUGCACAUAAUUAUAUAGAUACCUUGAAAGAAGAGUUUAAACAGAAUGUGAAGGAUAGUGCGACGGUUAAUACUGGUACUACUAAUUCGAUGCUAAUUAAACCGUGUUUGUCUGACAAUACACAAGUUGACGCAAGCAGUUCCUAUAUGAAUCAUGCGAAUAUAAAUAAUUAUGAAAACGAUAUUAGUAACGUAAAUUGUAACACAGCAGUUAAUGGUACUAAUAAUUUAUAUGAUGAAACACGAAUAAGCGUGGUGCGUAAUAAUAUGUACAACAAUGGGAUAACAGAAAGUGAUAACGUAUUAAAUUAUAUUGAUAAUGAUAGUGGUAGUAGUAGAAGAAGCGGAGUAGACAACUACGAACCAAAACAAGUGGAUGAAACUGAUUAUAUUUUAAAAGCAACAACAGAUAACAAUAAAAAAAUAAAUAAAAUAAUAAAAAAAAAUGAGCAUUAUCAAAAUUUUUGUUUUUUUUUCUUUCGACUUGUUGAUUCGAUUAGUGGUUUAUUUUGUUGCAUAGGAAAAAGAAACAAAAGAGAAGAAAUAUUCAAAUACUUAAUCAAUAUGAAAUUAAUAACAAAAGUGAAAAAUUAUAAUAUAAAUUCCAUACAAAAUUUUAACGUUGAUUUUAUGAUUUAUAUUAUUAGGUUAUUAAAAUAUAAAAGUGUUAAUAUUUCUUGUUCUUUAAAAAAAUUAAAACUAUAUGAAAAAGAACAAAUAAAAAAAAUAUUUCUUGAUUGUGUGCAUGAAAAUAUAUUAGACCUUUUUUAUUUAAAAAAAAUAGAACCUGAAUACAUUGCUAAGCGAGAGCAAAAAAAGGAACAACAAAAAAAAGAACAACAGUUUAUGACUAAAAAUAUUUUAUUACGUUCGAAAAUUAACAACUUAGGAAAAAGUAAAUCUAUAAAUACUAAACGAGUUAAUACAAAUACUGCAUCGGAUGUAGUUGAUUCAGAAAAGAAUGUGCAUAACAAUAAUGAUCAAAUUGAGUCACAAAAAUAUGAACAUCAUGAGGAAAAAAUGUGUGAACACUAUGAACCACAAAAAUAUGAACAUGAUGAGCAUAAAGCAGAUAAACAAAAUGGACAAAAACUGGAUGGACAAAAGCCGGAUGGACAAAAGCCGGAUGGACAAAAACUGGAUGGACAAAAACUGGAUGGACAAAAGCCGGAUGGACAAAAGCCGGAUGGACAAAAGCCGGAUGGACAAAAGCCGGAUGGACAAAAGCCGGAUGGACAAAAACCGGAUGGACAAAAACCGGAUGGACAAAAAAUAGAUAAAGAAAUAAACAACGUUAUAGAUUUAUCUACCAUUUCACUGUCCGAUAUUAAACAGUUCAUAAUGCAUAAAGACGACAAAAAAACGAAUAACACACAAAUUAGUAACGCCAUGGAGCAUAAACAAAAAAAUAUAACAAAAGAACCAGUAGUCGAAACAGAAACUGCAACAGAGUCAGAGACAGAGACAGAGACAGAAGAAAAAGUAAACAUGAAAAAUGAUAUUGUAAAAUAUUUCGACAUAACAGAAAAUAAAAAUUCAAUAGUUUUUGAGAUAAACGAAUCUUUUUUAAGAAACAAGGAACCAGUCGCUACAAAUUAUCAAGUGAUAAAUAACUAUAUACAUUUGUCUGAUUAUAACAAACAAAGUAAUUAUGAUUUUGUAACAAAGGACUUAGAACAAGAUAUAGAACAAGACGUAGAAGAAGACAUAGAAGAAAACGUAGAAGAAGACAUAGAAGAAGACAUAAAAAAAGACAUAGAAAAAGACAUAAAAAAAAACAUAGAAGAAGACGUAGAAGAAGACAUAGAAGAAGACGUAGAAGAAGACGUAGAAGAAGACAUAGAAGAAGACGUAGAAGAAGACGUAGAAGAAGACGUAGAAGAAGACAUAGAAGAAGACGUAGAAGAAAACAUAGAAAAAGACAUAGAAAAAGACAUAGAAAAAGACAUAGAAAAAGCACAACAAAUAAAAAGUAUGCCAACAGAUGUUAAAGAACCAGGGUAUACAAUUAAUAACGCAAAAGUGGAUUGUAUAAAAAGCAGAACAAUAAAUACAAGUGAGGAAGGAAAAAAAGACAUUGUCGAAGAUACUGGCAAAGACAUGUGUUACGACACGGGAUUCGACGAACUAAACGCAAUAACAGACACAAAAAAAAAAAUUAACAAACAAAACAGAAACGUUACCAACCUACAUUUUUUACUAAACGAAGAAGCCAACAAAAAAAAAAAAUAUAAUUUUCAUACCAUUUAUACCAGUAAUAUGGAAGAACGAAUAGCAUCGAUAUGUUAUAUUUUAAAAAAAGAAAAAGAGAAAAAGAAAGUUAUUGUUUGUACAAAUGAAGAAGAAAUAAAAUUAAUAAAAAAAAAAUGUCAAGUUGAACAUAUUGAGUAUGACAACAUAAUAAGUAUAUUAAAAAAUAUAAAACAAUUUGUUAUAAAAAAUAAUAAUUAUAAAAAAUUUUGCUUUAUUUUUUUAAACGAAAUUGAAAAUACUAUACAAGUAAGAAAAUUAUUUAGUAAUUUAUUAUCAUCAGAAAAACAAAACGCUGAUGAUUUGUUUCAUAUCAAUUUUUUUUAUUUUGCAACAAAUGAACAAAAAGCGACUGUAUAUAAAAAAUUGUUUUACUCUAUUAUACAUGAUGAAGAUAGUUAUUUAAUUUAUUUAAAAAAAAAACAAAAGCAACAACUGUCUAACCAAAAAAACAAAAAAGAAUAUAUAAAAACAAAUAAGCA
ensembl:lncRNA